GGUUCAUAUGUUUGUAAAUCUGACUGUGAUGAAGUCAGUGCCUCACCAGCCAUGAACCUCACCGCACAUCACUGCCUAUUACGGUAGUGUUAUCAGAAUAGUUUCAUAGUAAACAUACAAUAAUGUAAGAAAUAAUUAUAUUGUCCACUAUCUGCUGUUUUUAGAGAUCGUUGAUAUUAUAUUUCAAUAUUGUUUGUAUACUUUGUGGCAGGAACUUAAGCACUGGUGAUGAAGAGAUCGACUAUGAUCUUCCUCUUUACUACAAACACACACCAACAGUCCACUAAACGCCUAACAGACCUGAAAACAAAAAGGAAGCAUCCUAAUAAAAACCUACAGUAUUUGAUGGAGGAAGAAGACUGGACACAUAUGGGCAGGAAAUCAGACAUCUUGUCAGGAUGGAGAAACAGGACCAGGAACAAUGAAGACCAAGUGCCGACUCAUGAGGAAAUCCACAACCGGUUACCUCAGCCACCAGACAUAAAGUCGUGGUCAAAAGUUUACAUACACUUGUAAAGAACAUAUUGUCAUAGCUGUCUUGACUUUCCAAUAAUUUCGACAACUCUUAUUUUUUUGUGAUAGAGUGAU